AGAUCUUGGCUCAGAACGAACGCUGGCGGCGUGCCUCACUCAUGCAAGUCGAACGAGGCCCUUCCUUGUUUAUUGGCUCACGGGUGCAUAGCGGAGGAAAACCUGCCCUUUGUUCCCCACUUUCUGCUGGAACCGGCUGCAACUACCGCAAGAUCCCAAAAUUCCAAAGAUUUAGCCCCCAAGGAUGACCCCGCGUUGUAUUAGGAAGUUGGAGGGCUAAAGGCCUACCAAUGCCGAGAAUCCAUACCUGGUCCGAGAGGAUGAACGGCCACCCUGGGCCGAAAAGCCGACCCGCACCCCUACGGGAGGCACCCGGGCGAAAUAUUGACCAAUGGCCGCAGGCCGGAUCCUUGAAUGCCGCGUGAAUGUUGAAGGCCCCAGGGCUGUAAGGGUCUUUAACCCCUUAAGAUAAUGACCGUCCCGGAAAAAUAAACCCCGGCUAAUUCCGGGCCAUCACCCGCGGUA
rnacentral:rRNA from 1 species